AUUUGUCUCUUCAAUUCAGUCACCUCUCGAGCUUGAUUUUGCACUUCCUUGGCGUAAUUGUGCAUAUCUUUGGCUUGAUUUUCUUGACCCUUAAACAACGUAGUUAGUAACUGAAUAACUUGAGCAUUAUCAAAAGACGAACCUAAGUUAUUUUGGGCAGGUUGUGUUUGGGGUUGUGCGGGUGCAUACGGCCUUUGAUAGAAUCCCGGAGGUUGCUGUCUGAAUGCACUUUGUUGUUGGGUUUGUUAGGGCUCCCUCCAUUUGAAAUUUGGAUGAUCUUUCCAGCCUGGAUUGUAUGUAUUCGAGAA
rnacentral:lncRNA from 1 species